rnacentral:rRNA from 1 species
CACGUAGGGGGCAAGCGUUAUCCGGAUUCAUUGGGUUUAAAGGGCGCGUAGGUGGCCUUAUAAGUCAGUGGUGAAAUCUCUCAGCUUAACUGAGAAAUUGCCAUUGAUACUGUAGGGCUUGAGUACAGAUGCCGUUGGCGGAAUAUGACAUGUAGUGGUGAAAUACAUAGAGAUGUCAUAGAACACCGAUUGCGAAGGCAGCUGACGAAACUGUAACUGACACUGAGGCUCGAAAGUGCGGGGAUCAAACAGG